CCGAGGAGUGUAACUUGUACGCGAGUCAAUAGGUGGAAAACCUAAAGGCGAAACGAAAGUGAAGGUACGGUUAACCGACUGACAUGGGAAACGUGCGUUACGAAUACUUGACGAAACGUUACACCAUGGCCCUGUCUUGUCUGCAUGCAGAUGGGCAGCGGUAGAGCGUACAGGUUGCGACCCGAAAGAUGGUGAACUAUGCCUGAGCAGGACGAAGUCAGAGGAAACUCUGAUGGAAGUCCGUAUCGGUUCUGACGUGCAAAUCGAUCGAUAGACUUGGGUAUAGGGGCGAAAGACUAAUCGAACCAUC
rnacentral:misc_RNA from 1 species